rnacentral:ncRNA from 1 species
AUCUUCGGGGCGAGGUGAAAUUCCUCACCGGCAGUAUAGUCUGCGAGCGAAAGCUGAUUCGGUGAAAUUCCGAAACCGACGGUCACAGUCCGGAUGGAAGAAGU